rnacentral:lncRNA from 1 species
GUAUCUACUUCUCCCUCCCCUAUCUGGUCUGAAAAAAUGUGAGAGGACCGCUGCAUGUGGAUGACAGUGUACCAUCUGACGAGAGUGGUAACGUGAAUAUUUGUUAGGGGUCACCUUUGACUAAGUACUGUCAUGGCUAUGGAAUAACGUAUAAGACCACUAUGGUCGGUACGGGUAUGAUCAUAGUCGUACCAUGGUUUGGCCGA